GAGCAACUUAGGAUUUUGGGCUCCCCGGCGCAUCUCGAACUAUGCCGGGCCAAACCCACGGGGGCUGGCGGUCCCCGUGCGGUCAAAAUCAAACCGCUGGAG
rnacentral:ncRNA from 1 species